UUUUCUAUGUCAUGUUCUUUUUUUAUUUUUCAUACAUUCUUUUUUGUAACAUUCGAGUGUCAAAGAUAGUAAAAAUUUCAAACUUCUAGGGUCCUGUCCUGAAGGAUGGAGAAGGUUUGGCAGCAGCUGUUACUAUCUGUCUACUGAGAGGAAAUCCUGGACUGAGAGUAGACAGGACUGUUUGGAGAGAGGAGCAGACCUGGUGAUCAUUAACAGUGAAGAGGAACAGGCAUUCAUCAAUGGGUUUGAAUCAGUCAGUUAUGUCUGGAUUGGUCUGACUCACUCUGUUACUGAGGGGACCUGGAAAUGGGUGGACGGCACCCCACUGACCACCCCAAGCUAUUGGAGGAGUGGAGAGCCUGGUGGUGGUGGAGUGGAGAACUGUGUGGAAAUCUAUUACAUGUCACCAGGCCAAAGAGUAUGGAGGGAUUAUAAGUGUUCAUUUUCACAACAAUGGAUCUGUGAGAAAGAGUAAUUUUUUUGGGGCGGCAGGUAGCUUAGUGGGUAAGAGCGUUGUGCCAGUAACCGAAAGGUCGCUGGUU